rnacentral:ncRNA from 1 species
UAAAUAGGUGCGUGGUUCUCUGCACCCUGCAAACUUUCGUAGGUGGACAAAGCGGCUCCUAGCCGCACGAAACAGAGCAUUAACAGGUCUGUGAUGCCGUUAGAUGUCCGGGGCCGAACGCGCUCUACACUGAAGGAAGCAGCGUGUUUUAUCCCUGUCUGUAAAGACUGGGCAACCUGUGGAACCUCCUUCGUGAUCGGGAUAGGGGCUUGCAAUUGUUCCCCUUGAACGAGGAAUUUCUAUUCAGCGCGAGUCAUAGGAUUGAUUACGUUCCUGCACUUUGUACACACAGCCUGUCGCUACUACCGAUUGAAUGAUUUAGUGAGGUCUUCGGACCGAUACACGGAGAGGCCUUUCGGUUGCGCCGGUGUGUUGGAAAGAUGACAAAAGUUGAUCAUUUAGAGGAAGAAAAAGUCGUAGCAAGGAUUUCGCAGGUGAACCUGCGGAAGGACCAUUA